rnacentral:rRNA from 1 species
UACGGAGGGGGCAAGCGUUGUCCGGACUUACUGGGCGUAAAGGGUGCGUAGGCGGGUAAGUAAGUCCGUGGUGAAAUCUCUGAGCUUAACUCAGAAACUGCCGUGGAUACUAUUUGCCUUGAAUAUUGUGGAGGUGAGCGGAAUAUGUCAUGUAGCGGUGAAAUGCUUAGAUAUGACAUAGAACACCAAUUGCGAAGGCAGCUCACUACACAAUCAUUGACGCUGAGGCACGAAAGCGUGGGGAUCAAACAGG